UUAAGUAGGGCUCUAAAAACUAAUUUCACGCAGUUCUUUAACAGUUGUAAAGUGACAUAAAAUUAUAAAUACUCUACAGUUGUAAACCAAAAUAGUUCUUCAGUAUUUGCACCUGUUAUUUUCCACCGACGUUGCUCUUAAAGGUUAAAAGUAUUUAGAAGAGGAUUCACUGUUAAUCCACAUCUGUUCGCUUCUCCAAACUUCUCCACAUCUGUGUCCACACACCCCCGAACCACACAGGCGAUUAUCUCCGUCAGUAUUUUUCUCUGCCUGUUACUUUAAGAACCAAGUUACACCGACACUUCAGCUACUCACCCCGACAGGAUACUUAAAAAAAGAAAGAGCAGGAGCGGGUUUUAAUUCCGGUGCCACAGAAGGAAAUAGUCUUAUUCCGGCGCUUUCUCUUUUCAGCGCAGAUCCGAGUAGUAGCUCCUCUCGCUCCCUUCGUCUUUCCCCCUGGCUCUGCACGUCCAGCCGGAACACACGUUAGACCAUCAGAAACGCAGUGUGCGUGUGGAAGAGGUGUCCAUGGCUGCGCUGCACACAGUGGCCACCGUGCGCAGGAGACAUGGAGAGGAGUUUACGCACGGUCCGUGGAUGAAAUGGGAAGUCACAGAGCUGAGUGGACAGAAGGGCCGCCCAGAGAAAGUCCCCACAGGUCGCUUCCCGGCACACAGCAUCACUCAAAACUCCACAAUAGACCGGACACAGCUUACGUGCAACUGAACUGCCGAUGUGGUCAGUGUUGACAUGUAAGGUUGACGGAGGGUAAAUAGAUCUUUGUUUUCAAUAAAAGAGAAAUUUGCAUUUGAUUAAAUCUUAACAAAUUGAGUGACAAAACCAUAUUUUUCUUUUAAAGUCCCAUUUUUCAUUUUCUGAUUUUCCUUUCAGUGCAGGAGUUCAACUAAGACGAUAGGAUUGAGAACGCAGAACAUCCUGCGUUACGUUCCCCGGUCGAGAGAACGAGAAGAUGGACUGAGGUAAAGUCCAGCUGUUGUGAUUGUGUCCCAUCAGUCUGUCCUUUCUUCAGAUCUCAGCUCCAUCAGUUCUUCCAGUUGGAGUAAGGGAGCAGACAAGGAGGCUUCGCACCAUCGCAUCAGUUCCAGGUCCGGGGCAGGUUCUCGAGGAUCCUGCGUCGGUGCGAAGGGUUCGUCACUCCCGCGGCUCGUAGGUCCUCCUCAGUGAUGCCGCUGUGGAGAAAUGGCAGAGAAAACAUUUUAUUUUAAAACAUUUGCAUGAUGAAAUUUUGUCAAUGUCGAUAAUGUCAGCAUCUUGUUAUCCUGUAGAUGUACAAUACACACAAUACAGUAUAUAACACAAGGGAAUACUGGAUUAGUUAAUGUGCACUGUGUUCUCAUUUCAAAAUCAAUAGGCACAAGUGUUUAAAAGGAACAGUUUUUGUUGGCUGUACGGAUUCCCUCUCUUCGCUUGUCCUAUGUGAACGAUGGGGGUUACAAAUCCAGCCCUCACUCAACACCACAGAACGAAUUACUCAGCCUAUCUGGAGUGAAUAUGAGGCUUCAACAGUCUGAGUUAAUCAGAUCAACAGGGUAUCUCAAAAGGUUACAGCCGGUUCGUAUGAAAUUGCCUCUUUGUGUUGCUUCCCCUCGGCGGCUCAACACAGAAACACUGUCAGGGGGAGAAACGGGGGAAGUUACUGACUUGAUCCAUCUAAGUCGGGCGGCUGCAGCCUCAAAUUAACCUCAGAUCAAAUUUAAAAGGACGAUGGAUUUUGCCCCUCAUUGUUUACACAGUAAGGCAACAGGAGGGAGAGUUAGAGCAGGAAGGGUUUUAUUUAUUUAUCUAUUUUUUUUAUUUAAUCAAUUUACAUCUCACUUAAGUUGUAACUGCAAAGCUGACAGUAUUUAAUUGAAGUCAUCAGACCCACAUGAGCAUGACUGUCACGUGAACUAAUUGGAUCCGGCCUUCUACUGAUGUUUGAAUCUGUCUUGUGUGUAUUUUACUCUGGUCAUGUAUCGUAUAGUUUUAUUCUGGUUUUAAAUAUGUACACAAAUUGAAGAAUAAACUGAAUGAAAUGA